rnacentral:rRNA from 1 species
UNGUAGGUGGUGUGUCGCGUCGUCUGUGAAAUUCCGGGGCUUAACUCCGGGCGUNCAGGCGAUACGGGCACGACUAGAGUGCUGUAGGGGUAACUGGAAUUCCUGGUGUAGCGGUGAAAUGCACAGAUAUCAGGAGGANCACCGAUGGCGAAGGCAGGUUACUGGGCAGUUACUGACGCUGAGGAGCGAAAGCAUGGGGAGCGAACAGGAUUAGAUACCCUGGUAGUCCAUGCUGUAAACGGUGGGCGCUAGGUGUGGGCUGUGUGUUUGCAGUCUGUGCCGUAGCUAACGCAUUAAGCGCCCCGCCUGGGGAGUACGGCCGCAAGGCUAAAACUCAAAGGAAUUGACGGGGGCCCGCACAAGCGGCGGAGCAUGUGGAUUAAUUCGAUGCAACGCGAAGAACCUUACCUGGGUUUGACAUGCACCAGAUCGGCGUAGAGAUACGUCUUCCCUUGUGGUUGGUGCACAGGUGGUGCAUGGUUGUCGUCAGCUCGUGUCGUGAGAUGUUGGGUUAAGUCCCGCAACGAGCGCAACCCUUGUCUUAUGUUGCCAGCACAUUUUUUGGUGGGGACUCAUGAGAAACUGCCGGGGUCAACUCGGAGGAAGGUGGGGAUGACGUCAAAUCAUCAUGCCCUUUAUACCCAGGGCUUCACACAUGCUACAAUGGUCGGUACAACGGGUUGCGACACUGUGAAGUGAAGCUAAUCUCUCAAAGCCGGCCUCAGUUCGGAUUGGGGUCUGCAACUCGACCCCAUGAAGUCGGAGUCGCUAGUAAUCGCAGAUCAGCAACGCUGCGGUGAAUACGUUCCCGGGCCUUGUACACACCGCCCGUCACGUCAUGAAAGUUGGUAACACCCGAAGCCCAUGGC